UGGGAUACCACUUGGAAACAGGUGCUAAUACCGGAUAACAACAAUAGCUGCAUGGCUAUUGCUUAAAAGGCGGCGAAAGCUGUCGCUAAAGGGUGGACCCGCGGUGCAUUAGCUAGUUGGUAAGGUAAUGGCUUACCAAGGCGACGAUGCAUAGCCGAGUUGAGAGACUGAUCGGCCACAUUGGGACUGAGACACGGCCCAAACUCCUACGGGAGGCAGCAGUAGGGAAUCUUCCACAAUGGGCGAAAGCCUGAUAGAGCAACGCCGCGUGAGUGAAGAAGGUUUUCGGACCGUAAAGCUCUGUUGUUGGUGAAGAAGGAUAGAGGUAGUAACUGGCCCCUAUUUGACGGUAAUCAACCAGAAAGUCACGGCUAACUACGUGCCAGCAGCCGCGGUAAUACGUAGGUGGCAAGCGUUGUCCGGAUUUAUUGGGCGUAAAGCGAGCGCAGGCGGAAAGAUAAGUCUGAUGUGAAAGCCCCCGGCUUAACCGAGGAAUUGCAUCGGAAACUGUGUUUCUUGAGUGCAGAAGAGGAGAGUGGAACUCCAUGUGUAGCGGUGGAAUGCGUAGAUAUAUGGAAGAACACCAGUGGCGAAGGCGGCUCUCUGGUCUGUAACUGACGCUGAGGCUCGAAAGCAUGGGUAGCGAACAGGAUUAGAUACCCUGGUAGUCCAUGCCGUAAACG
rnacentral:rRNA from 1 species